rnacentral:rRNA from 1 species
UGGGGAAUCUUCCGCAAUGGACGAAAGUCUGACGGAGCAACGCCGCGUGAGUGAUGACGGCCUUCGGGUUGUAAAGCUCUGUUAAUCGGGACGAAUGGUUCUUGUGCAAAUAGUGCGCGGAUUUGACGGUACCGGAAUAGAAAGCCACGGCUAACUACGUGCCAGCAGCCGCGGUAAUACGUAGGUGGCAAGCGUUGUCCGGAAUUAUUGUGCGUAAAGCGCGCGCAGGCGGAUUGGUCAGUCUGUCUUAAAAGUUCGGGGCUUAACCCCGUGAUGGGAUGGAAACUGCCAAUCUAGAGUAUCGGAGAGGAAAGUGGAAUUCAUAGUGUAGCGGUGAAAUGCGUAGAUAUUAGGAAGAACACCAGUGGCGAAGGCGACUUUCUGGACGAAAACUGACGCUGAGGAGCGAAAGACAGGGGAGCGAACGGG